rnacentral:rRNA from 1 species
GGACUACUGGGGUUUCUAAUCCUGUUUGCUCCCCACGCUUUCGUGCAUGAGCGUCAGUGUCAUCCCAGGAGGCUGCCUUCGCCAUCGGUAUUCCUCCACAUCUCUACGCAUUUCACUGCUACACGUGGAAUUCUACCUCCCUCUGACACACUCUAGCCCUGUAGUUUCAAAUGCAAUUCCCAGGUUAAGCCCGGGGCUUUCACAUCUGACUUGCAGAACCGCCUGCGCACGCUUUACGCCCAGUAAUUCCGAUUAACGCUUGCACCCUACGUAUUACCGCGGCUGCUGGCAC